GUCCUGUUAGUUAAAUGGAUAUAACGACUUCCUCCUAAGAAGUAGUUGCAGGUUCGAUUCCUGCACGGGACG
rnacentral:tRNA from 1 species